rnacentral:rRNA from 1 species
CAUGGGCAUUUGCGCAUGGGCGCACUCUGAUGCAGCACACGCCGCGUGAAGGAUGACGGCCUUCGGGUUGUAAACUCCUUUUAUUAGGGACGAUUAUGACGGUACCUCUUGGAUUUUCACCCGCUAACUCCCUGCCAGCAGCCCCGGUAAUCAAUCCG